GAUAAAAAGAGAAAAAUAAUUUUAAAGUUUUAAAUUUUUAGUAUUUUUUAAAAAAAUUAAUUUUUGGUUAUAGUUUAAUAGUACUGUAAAGGAAUUUCUAAGAAAAGGUUAAUAAAAAGAAGUUUUAUACGUACCUUUAGUAUAAUGGGUUAUUAAAAUUUUAAUAUUAUGAAUUAAGUCCCGAAAGAAAAAGAGUUAAAAAUAAAUUUUGUUUUUGUAUUAAAAAGAAAUUGAAUUUUUUUUUUGAAGUGAAACGCUAGUCGGGUUUUUAUAUCUGGUUUUUUAAGAAAUAAAUUUAAUUUAGAAGGAUUUAUAAUAAUUAUGUUAUUUUUAGAAUAUAAGGGUUGAGCUUUAUAUUAAAUAUAUUUAAAAAUUCUGUUUAAUUAAUUUUUGAAUUAAGCUUAAAAUUUGCGUUAUUAAAAAAAUGUUUCAAUUUAAUAAUUUUAAAAUAAGUUUAUAGGAUUUUAAUUUUUUAUUAAAAUUUUAGAGUUAUUAGUUUACUUUAAGAAAUUAUGAUAAUAUUAUUAGAUAAAAGUUUUAGAUUUUUAAAAAUAAAAUAAAUUAGAAAAUUUAAAAGUUUAUUUUUAUAGUAAAGGAACUCGGCAAAAUAAAGAUUGUGCCUGUUUAUCAAAAACAUGUCUUUAUGAAGUUAAAUAAAGUCUGUUCUGCCCACUGAUAAUAUAAUAUUAAAUGGCCGCGGAAAAUUAACUGUGCAAAGGUAGCAUAAUAAUUAGUUUUUUAAUAGAAGGCUUGUAUGAAUGAAUGGACAACAAUCAAACUGUCUUUAUUAUAAAUAAUUUAAUUUUACUUUUAAGUGAAAAGGCUUAAAUAAUUUUAAGGGACGAUAAGACCCUAUAAAUCUUUAUAAUAAAUAGAUUAAUUUAGUAAAUAAAAGUGAGAACUAGAUUAAUUUAAGUUUUAUUAUGCUGGGGUGGUAUAAAUAUAAAAAGACCUGUUUUUAUUUUUUACAAAUUUAUUUGUUCAUAAUAGAUCUAUAAUAAUAAUGAAUAGUUUAAGUUACUUUAGGGAUAACAGCAUAAUUUCUUUUGAGAGUUCAAAUCGAAAAAGAAUUUUGUGACCUCGAUGUUGAAUUAAAAUAUCUUUAUGGUGUAGAAGUUAUAGGAGUUAGUCUGUUCGACUAUUAAAAUUUUACAUGAUUUGAGUUCAAACCGGUGUAAGCCAGGUUGGUUUCUAUCUUUAAAGUUUUUGUUAAAUUAUUCUAGUACGAAAGGAUUGAGUAAAUUGAAAUAAUUUUAUAUAUUUAUAAAUAUACAUGUAAAAUUACUUUGGCAGAAAAAUGCAU
rnacentral:rRNA from 1 species